GGAGACUCCUCUCCACAGUUCAUCGCCAGUUCGUUACCCCUUAUGGAUCUUCAACCACCCAAGAGUGAAGUCAGCGUGGAUCAUCCUCUCAGCUACACAGAAGCCUACAAGAAACCACAGCCUACGCCAACCGCAUUAAGCCCUCCAGCCACGCCAUCAGGCUCGUCCACGUCACCACCAGCCACGAACAACUACACAUCUGGAGAAACAAUAAAACUCUUCUUACCUCUAAA